rnacentral:rRNA from 1 species
UGGAUCCAGACUUUGAUCAUGGCUCAGGAUGAACGCUGGCGGCGUGCUUAACACAUGCAAGUCGAACGAAGCACUUUAUUUGAUUUCCUUCGGGAUUGAUUAUUUUGUGACUGAGUGGCGGACGGGUGAGUAACGCGUGGGUAACCUGCCUUGUACAGGGGGAUAACAGUUGGAAACGGCUGCUAAUACCGCAUAAGCGCACAGCAUCGCAUGAUGCAGUGUGAAAAACUCCGGUGGUAUAAGAUGGACCCGCGUUGGAUUAGCUAGUUGGUGAGGUAACGGCCCACCAAGGCGACGAUCCAUAGCCGACCUGAGAGGGUGACCGGCCACAUUGGGACUGAGACACGGCCCAAACUCCUACGGGAGGCAGCAGUGGGGAAUAUUGCACAAUGGGCGAAAGCCUGAUGCAGCGACGCCGCGUGAGCGAAGAAGUAUUUCGGUAUGUAAAGCUCUAUCAGCAGGGAAGAUAAUGACGGUACCUGACUAAGAAGCACCGGCUAAAUACGUGCCAGCAGCCGCGGUAAUACGUAUGGUGCAAGCGUUAUCCGGAUUUACUGGGUGUAAAGGGAGCGCAGGCGGUGCGGCAAGUCUGAUGUGAAAGCCCGGGGCUCAACCCCGGUACUGCAUUGGAAACUGUCGUACUAGAGUGUCGGAGGGGUAAGCGGAAUUCCUAGUGUAGCGGUGAAAUGCGUAGAUAUUAGGAGGAACACCAGUGGCGAAGGCGGCUUACUGGACGAUAACUGACGCUGAGGCUCGAAAGCGUGGGGAGCGAACAGGAUUAGAUACCCUG